rnacentral:rRNA from 1 species
AUGAGGUGCUUGCACCUUAUCUUAGCGGCGGACGGGUGAGUAAUGCUUAGGAAUCUGCCUAUUAGUGGGGGACAACAUUCCGAAAGGAAUGCUAAUACCGCAUACGUCCUACGGGAGAAAGCAGGGGAUCUUCGGACCUUGCGCUAAUAGAUGAGCCUAAGUCGGAUUAGCUAGUUGGUGGGGUAAAGGCCUACCAAGGCGACGAUCUGUAGCGGGUCUGAGAGGAUGAUCCGCCACACUGGGACUGAGACACGGCCCAGACUCCUACGGGAGGCAGCAGUGGGGAAUAUUGGACAAUGGGGGGAACCCUGAUCCAGCCAUGCCGCGUGUGUGAAGAAGGCCUUAUGGUUGUAAAGCACUUUAAGCGAGGAGGAGGCUACUGAGACUAAUACUCUUGGAUAGUGGACGUUACUCGCAGAAUAAGCACCGGCUAACUCUGUGCCAGCAGCCGCGGUAAUACAGAGGGUGCGAGCGUUAAUCGGAUUUACUGGGCGUAAAGCGUGCGUAGGCGGCUUUUUAAGUCGGAUGUGAAAUCCCCGAGCUUAACUUGGGAAUUGCAUUCGAUACUGGGAAGCUAGAGUAUGGGAGAGGAUGGUAGAAUUCCAGGUGUAGCGGUGAAAUGCGUAGAGAUCUGGAGGAAUACCGAUGGCGAAGGCAGCCAUCUGGCCUAAUACUGACGCUGAGGUACGAAAGCAUGGGGAGCAAACAGGAUUAGAUAC